rnacentral:rRNA from 1 species
UACAGAGGGUGCAAGCGUUAAUCGGAAUUACUGGGCGUAAAGCGUGCGUAGACGGUAGCGUAAGUCGGGUGUGAAAGCCCCGGGCUCAACCUGGGAAUUGCAUUCGAGACUGCUCUGCUAGGGUGCAGAAGAGGGAAGCGGAAUUUCCGGUGUAGCGGUGAAAUGCGUAGAUAUCGGAAGGAACACCAGUGGCGAAAGCGGCUUCCUGGUCCAGCACCGACGUUCAGGCACGAAAGCGUGGGGAGCAAACAGG